GACGAACGCUGGCGGCGUGCUUAAUACAUGCAAGUCGAACGGAAGUAGCAAUACUUUAGUGGCGCACGGGUGAGGAACACGUAGAUGAUCUGCCCUUGAGAUCGAGAUAACCCCGGGAAACUGGGGCUAAUACCGGAUAAUGCAUUAUUAUUGGAUUAAUAAUGUUAAAGCGGCGCAAGUCGCACUUGAGGAUGAGUCUGCGACCUAUCAGCUAGUUGGCGGUGUAAUGGACCACCAAGGCAAAGACGGGUAGCUGAUCUGAGAGGAUGAUCAGCCACACUGGGACUGAGACACGGCCCAGACUCCUACGGGAGGCAGCAGUAGGGAAUAUUGCGCAAUGGGGGAAACCCUGACGCAGCGACGCCGCGUGAGUGAUGAAGGCCUUUUCUGGUUGUAAAGCUCUGUAAGGAGGGAAGAAUGUCAGGCAGUAACGUGUCUGAGUGACGGUACUCCGGAGUAAGGACCGGCUAAAUACGUGCC
rnacentral:rRNA from 1 species